AUAAAACCGAUGAGGGAGAAAAGUACUUUCAAGAAGAAACAACAGAGAGCUGCCGAGGGUGGAACGGCGGUGUGGAUUUUUGAGAGGAAUGGCCUCCUGAGGGCGCGCAGAACGGUUAGUAUGCAAGCCGGAGCGGAUACUCCGUUAUCAACGAGGACAUAUGUUAGUAUGUCAUGAGAGGGUACAUUUUUUGUACCAAGCCGGGUGGCACCGCAGGAGUGAAUAUUUGCUCUUGUCCCUGCA
rnacentral:ncRNA from 1 species